UCCCUGGUGGUCUAGUUGUUAGGACUUGGCACUGUCACUGCUGGAGCCCGGGUUCCAUCCCUGGUCUGGGAA
rfam:Sus scrofa genome assembly, chromosome: Y